CCGGUGCGAGGUCAUGCAGGUAAAGUUUGGGUAGACCUGCUAGGGUAAACAGUGAGAAUGUUGGCUGCAGUGCACCGGUCAGAGUGUGUACUUUGUCUUAUCAUCUUGCACACAUUGGAUAGGGAUGACCUACUUUCAGUUUCUGUAUCGGCAUAGCAUCUGGACCCGCUAGAUUAUCGAUUGACGGAAGCAAGCCGCCCGUGCUCGCCGUCUCGGCAGCGGAUCGAAGAAAUUCCCACGGAUUUUUACUCUUUUCGGCACACGGAAGUGAAUGCUGUGGCAGCUUGGGGGUCUGUGGUCUGGAGCUCGAACGAAGAACCACCAUCGGAAUGGAGUAGUUUCAACAGAGUGCCUGGAUACUGCAAUGUGCAAUUCUCAUCAUAAUGUUACUUGGAUUACAAAGCUUUCUCUCUGGAUUGUAGUGAAGAGAUAGUGGAGUACUGGGGCAUAUUUUCUACCCCACUCGCGUUUCUGCAUCUCGUAUCUGUGCACUGUGGCUGUGGAGAUCAAAGGGAACCAAAAUGGCGUUCGCUCGUCGGAUAAUAAUGGAUCUUGUUUUGAUUGUCCUGUGUCUGUCUGUUGUCAGUGCACAAUGGCAGUAUUCGCUUCCUGAAGAAUCUCAGUAUGAUUUAUCCGAAAAAGCCUUUGUCCAAAAAUAUCGUCGUCAAGCAGAGACGACAGCGUAUGAUGAAAUAAUUACACAGCCUUCCCCAAUCCCCGAAGAUGCAGGCAGCGACACUGUCUUGUUUGAUUUCAACACAGUAACCAUCAGCAGUGAGGCAGCAUCCACCUUUACUUUCCAAGUUAUAGAGACAACGGACAGCGUUCCUCAGUAUGAGGGCCUGUUUGUUAUUGAGAAGAGACAGGUCCGUUUUGGACAUGCACUCUCAGACACAGAGAGACGGAAUUACUUUGAUUAUGAGCAGUAUCCCACAGUUGUCAUCAUUAUUGUAGCAACACAGGAGCUUGGAUUUCAUGAGAAAAAGUGGAUCAAGCUCUCCAUUCCCCUGGUGGAUGUCAACGAUGAGUCUCCAGUCCUCAAGAACAAGCCAUACCCAUACCAGGCAGCCAUCCCUCUUGAACCGGAGCCAGGCCACACAGUUUACGAACUGCUGGCAGAAGAUCCCGACACAAAUUCGGAACUGGAGUACCGUAUUGCUGAUGAAGCAGAUCCUGAUGUGAAGGCCUUCUUCAGGAUGGAGCAGGUGGUGGAGAAGGAUGGGACACCUGACAAGAUCGUCGAAGGACACAUCAAAGUGUCUCUGAGAACAGCUUUCACCGAAGGCAGAGAAUUUAACAUUCCAGUGACAAUCCGUGACAAGCAAGCGGUUGGUCAGGUCACCACAGCCACCAUCAAUGUUCUAGUUGGACCCAGACCACCUCAGUUCUUUCAAGAAAAAUAUGAGGGAUGGAUUUUUGAGACUGAGAGCACCAACAACCAAGUGUACACCAUGCCCGACCUAAACGGUGAAUUGAUCAUCCAAGUCCGCCAGUUCCAGGAUGGUUAUCCGAUGACAUUCCGAGUUCUAGAUGAAAACAACAGAGAAUCUACACAGUUCCGUAUUGAUGGAAACGGCCGCAUUUACAAUAAAGCUGCUUUGGACUUCGAUGUGCCGAGAACUCUCCGUCCCCCAAAGUCACGGCUGAUCAUAAAAGUUACAGAAACAUCAGAUUUUAAAAAUCUGGAAAAUACAGUUCCUUUGGAGAUCACCAUCAAGGAUGAAAACGACAAUGCCCCAAGAUUCCACUUGACUCAGUACAUGGAGACGGUGCGGGAAGACCUCAAUGUGGGAGAUACCGUCAUGAGAAUUUUUGCUGAUGAUCAUGACUCAGAUGACAAUGCUUUUGUCACGUAUGAAGUGGACAGCCCUUACUUUGACAUAAAGAAAGUCGGUAAUGAGGGAGUGAUCACCGUCAAGCAACGAUUAGACUUCGAUGCAGAGCCAGGCCCGAGGUAUCGCUUUGUGGUGUAUGCCAAAGACAACGGGGUGCCAGCACUGUCUAGCUCGGUGGAUGUGGCCAUCACCACAGAGAAUGUCAACGAUGAGGUGCCCACCAUCAUCUCGCCCGGCGUUCUGGUGCUGAGAGACGAGGUCAGAGGGGGAGGCUUCACUCUCACGAGACUGCGUGCCAGAGACGCCGAUGGAGACAAUGUUCGCUUCUACUUCAGUCCUCGCUCGGAGAGGUAUGAGAUCUUCAGCAUCAAGCCGUCAUCCGGAAUCAUCCAGGUAGUGGCUCCUGUCCCCGAGGACCGCGACUCCUACAUCCUGAAUAUCACGGCAGAAGACGAUGGCUCGUGCUGCGGCAGCAUCAAGACACUGCAGAGCGAGGCCUCCGUCACUGUGGAGAUCGUCGACUCGGUCAACCAGAAGCCUGUGUUCACAAACUGCCUCAACUACUCCAAUGUCGCGGGAUUUGAUGAAGAUAUUGAACCUGGGGAGCCUGUCAUUCAAGUGAGUGCGUCUGACCCGGACCGAGGCUUGAACGGCAUCGUGACCUAUUCCAUUGAGUCUCCCUCUCCUUCCCUGAGUGACGCGCCGUUCCAGAUUGACCCAGAGAGUGGGAAGAUCACCAUCAAGACAAAAGUCAACAGAGAGGCCUACAGGAAAGAUUUUAUACAGGUGACGGUGAAAGGUUCUGAUGGAGCCCAGAAUCCUCAAGAGGGAUGGUGCACAUUCCGAGUCAGCAUCAGGGAUAUAAACGACAAUGACCCGGUCUUCAAUUCCCUGAGCUACAGCGAAAAGAUCUCUUCCAAUGCCCAGAAGGGCAGGAUCAUUCUCCGUGUUGGUGCGACAGAUGCAGACAUCGGUGACAACGCCAGAAUCUCGUACUCUCUGAUAAAGAAUGGCAAUGGCGUGUUUGGUAUCUACGAAGAGAACGGUCUGAUUUUCCUGAAAAAAGCUCCAUCUGUCACUCAUUACGAACUGCUGGUCAGAGCUCAGGACCAUGGAGUGGAACCCAGAAAUGCAACGGCCAGUGUGACCAUCGAUGUCGCCUCUGAGACCAGUGAGCCACCCACAUUCGACGACGAUGUGAUGUCUCCGGGUUACCAUUACCGAGUGGCCGAAACGGUCAACCCAAACUCUCAGGAUGCCAUCAUCACCACACUGACCUGCAGGUCCAACAUGGACAAUCCCAGGGUCCAGUACUUUUUGGUGGACUCCCGCGACAUUGUGCAGUCACAGCAAGCUGGCAACUUUGCCAUCCGAGAGUACCAGGAGGGGGGCCGCUACAAGGUGGACGUGAUGGUGGCCGCACAGCUCGACUACGAGAAAGCCAAUCAGCACACCAUCCAGCUGCGCUGUCAGAACUUUGGCGGCCUGACCAUGUAUGAGCAGAUCACGGUGACGGUAGACGUGGAGGAUCGCAACAACAAGGUGCCCUACUUUGAGGGCAUGGACAGCAAUGGCCGCUAUGCUGGGAGUGUGUUCGAGAACACCAACGCCGGUGCUCUGGUCAUUGAAGUGCAAGGUUAUGAUGAUGAUGUUACUCCCAGCUACAAUCAGUUGGUGUUCCGGCUUUCGGAACAGAGCUAUGACGGUGUUUUGAAUGACUUUGAGAUCCGCAACUUACCUGGCAACAAGGCUGGCAUCCACACCAAGCGACCAUUCGACAGAGAGGAACAGCCUCGUUUCUUCCUCACCGUUAUUGCUGAUGACCAGAGUCCUUCUGACAGGAUCAAUCACAAACCUCCAGGCAGUUCUAAUACAGCAUCGGUUAUUGUGCAGGUGACCAUCACAGACAAGAACGACAACCCUAUGGAGUUCCGUCAGUCGCUGUACACUCACACGGUAAAGGAGACAGCUAGCAUUGGGCAUGUCAUCUUUUCGGUCACUGCAGACGACAAGGAUGAAGUGGACAAAGGUCAGCUGAAGUACAGUUUCACCAGCCCGGACGACAUCCCCUUUGACAUCCGGGACCAGACGGGAGAAAUUGUCGUUACAGGCAAGCUGGAUUAUGAUGAGGGUGUCAAGUCUUACUUACUGACCCUGGAAUCGCGAGAUGCGGAGAACUUUUAUUCAGCCACCACCCAAGUGAAGAUUGACAUUCUGGACGAGAACGACAACCCGCCUGUGUUUGAGCGGCCGGAGUACAUCAUUGACGAUAAAGUGGUGGAAGAGGACCAGAGCAUUAGCAAAGAGAGUCCUAUGCCGCUGAUACAGGUGAAAGCGACGGACAAGGACGUGGCCCGUACCACCAACAUGCGCUACCGCCUCCUCGGGGAGGGAACUGAGGCCGGGGACAUGCAGCUGUUCACCAUUGACCAGCGCACAGGUCAGAUAUACCUGGUGGGCAUCCUCGAUCGCGACACCAAGUCGGAGUACAUCUUCACGGUGGAGGCCACGGACGAAGACCAGGAGCCACAGAAGGGCUACACCAACAUCAAGGUCAAGCCGCUGGACAUAAACGACAACAAGCCAAAGUUUGACCAGAACCGCCUCACGGGAGAGGUCUUUGAAAACACGGAGCCAGGUUGUCCAAACCUCGACAACUGUCCGCCCAUAGCCGUUGUCAUGACGACAGAUGCGGACUACGGAGAAAAUUCCACCAUCGACUACGAGAUUGUUAGCAGUCCAGCUGAAAGGACAGGAGGUCGCUACUUCGACAUAGAUGCCCAGGGACGCAUUUUCUCUCAGGUGGAGGCGAAGUUUCUGGAUAGAGAGACAAGGCCAAAGUUUGAGGUUGUGGUGAGAGCUAAGGACAGAGGUCCCGAGCCGCAGACAGCCACAGCGACGGUGAUCAUCACGCUGAAGGACCGCAACGACAACCCACCAAAGUUCACACAGAGGGAGUAUCAAGUGUCCAUGUCUGAGCACCAGGAGGAAGGUAUCGUGACUGAAGUGCAUGCCACAGACCUUGACAUUGGGGUGAACGCAGAGCUACAGUUCUCCAUGUCAGAGCAGGCUGCCCUCGUGGGUUAUUUCAAAGUGGACACUAUAGACAACCACGGCGCCAUAUCCGUCUAUCAGCCUGUGGACUUUGAGAAACUGAUGGACCCAGUGUUCCGGCUGGAGAUCAUUGUGCAGGACAAGAACCCGCUCCACCGCGACACGGCCACCGUGGUCAUCACUGUGGAGGACUUCAACGAUGAGGCGCCCAAGUUCAAGGAUGAAUACAUGGAAGUGGAAAUUGAGGAGAACAGAGAACCUGGAAAAGUGAUAGCCACAUUUGAAGCCACGGACGCUGACUCUGGAAUAAACGCCAUGUUUAGCUUCCUGAUAGACCGCGACUCUGACCGGCGCCGUGAGUUUGUGAUCCACCCAGACACAGGCGUUGUGCAGACACGCAAGAAGCUUGACCGAGAGGUGCAGGCCAGUAUGUUUGUGGUCAUCAAGGCUGUGGACAAAGGUGACCCACGCCAAACAGGGACCGCUACUCUUGAAGUGACUGUCACGGAUACGAAUGACAACUUCCCUGUGUUCAAGGAGGAUUACCGACCGGUUGUUAUGGAAAACAUGAAGAAAGGGGACGAAGUUACGGUACUGGAGGUGUUUGCUGUGGACCAUGACACCUUGAUCUAUGGACCGCCCUUUGGCUUCGCUCUGCCAGACAACUGCUCCGCGCUCGCCUGCAGCCACUUUGACCUCACACCCAAUGAUGAUGGCGACGAGCGUAGAGGGACGGCCAUUAUCACCACGCGGUCUGUGUUUGACCGCGAGGAGCACAAGUACUACGAGCUGCCGAUCGUCAUGUGGGACAUGAGGGACAAGAACAGCGACAAGGCCCGCACGGGGACCAACACGCUCACCAUCGUCAUAGGCGACCAGAACGACAACCCUCACUUCCCUGGCCACCAGAACGUAUUUGUUUACAACUAUAAAGGAAUGUUUGGGCCACUCCAGAUAGGUAGAGUUUAUGCUGAAGAUCUGGAUGACUGGGACUUGCCAGACAAAACCUUUACAUUCCUCUCUCCACCCAGCAUGAAGAACUUUUUCAGCGUGGACGAGGACACGGGGGACAUCACCAUGAAGCGCGGCGUGCGUGCCAACUUUGGGGAGGAGCCGUACCAGUUCAAGGUCAGCGUCCACGACAAGAAGACGGUGGUCAGCACGGUGGCCGUCACGGUCAAGGACCUGUCUGAUGAGGCUGUGCAGAACUCGGGGGCUGUCCGACUGGCAGGUGUUACUGCCGAGGAGUUUAUCCUGGAGCCCAAGGACAAACGGACAGGGCGCCGCACGGACAGUCUGUACACCCAGUUCCGGAUGUUGAUGAUGCAGAAGCUGGGCUACGACAGCAUCGACCACGUGGAGAUCAUCACGCUCCUCAACGGGCCGGACUACCUGGAGGUUCGCUACGCCGCCCAUGGCUCUCCGUACUUGUCCUCGGCACAGCUGGACAACAUCAUCAUCAUGAACAAACAGGAGUUUGAGGACCUGGGUGUGUCGGUGCUGACCGUGCCCAUCGACAACUGCCAGGAGGAAGUGUUUGAGGGCGGAUGCUACAACAAGCUGGUGGUGACGGGCCAGCCGGUCCUGGUCAACGCAAACGGCACCAGCUACGUGGGCGUGGAGGCUUACACUGUGGCCGCUGAGGGCUGCAAGUCGGACGAGUUCCCGGAGAAGAACAACUGCGACGGAGGCUACUGCUUCAACGGGGGGACAUGUGUCAAGGAUAACUGGGGCACCCUCUCAUGUGUGUGCAUGGAUGAAUUUGACGGGCCGCGUUGUCAGCAGAGGAGUCACCACUUCGACGGGAAUAGUGUCGCAUUUUACCGCACCUUGGAGCAGUGCGAGGACUCUCAGACCAGCCUGGACUUCAUGACUGCCCAGGACGACGGAGUCAUCUUGUACAACGGGCCCCUGGUCAACAUUGACCCUCUUGAGAGCCCCCAGGAUUUCAUCUUCCUGUUCCUGCGCGGCGGUUUCCCCGUUCUCCUGCUGGACCACGGCACUGGGGUGAUGGAGCUGACUCUGGACGGCACUGACAAACACGGCAGUCAGCUCAUGAAGAAACUCAGUGACGGCCGCUGGCACCACAUCGACAUCAACAGGAAAGGAAAGAUGGUGGAGCUGGUGGUGGAUCGGUGCAGCACGGCGGAGUCGCAGCGUCAACACGUGCAGGAUGAUAAGGCGUGUCGUGUGCGCGCGGAAACACCGGGGGAGAACACGUUUCUCAAUGUGGACACGCACCUUCACCUGGGUGGCGUGCAGGCUGCCAAGCCUCUCAAUCACCUGUCAGGACACCCCAUCGUGGGCUUCAACGGCUGCAUCAAGAACUUAGUCCACAACAAAAGGCUGUACGACCUGCACUACAAGCCUGUGUCUGGCAUCAAUACUGGGAACAACGGCUGCCCACCGGAGGCUGAGUUCUGCGGGCGGGGGAGCUCCAAGCCGGAGUGUGGCUUCAACGGCAUCUGUGAGUCCUCGCUCAGCGGGCUGGUCACCUGCCAGUGUCUGCCUGGAUGGUUCGGCAAGUCCUGUGACAAACCGGCCACAGUGCGAGACUUUGGCAAGAAAAGUUACUACCUGUGGAUGAUGAAGGAAGAGCUCUUUUCCUCCCAGCGACUCAGUCGCAACCGAGAGAUCAGCGCACAGCUCAUGUUCCGGACGAGGGAGACCAAUGGCAUCUUGUUGGAUAUGUACGAUUCUUCGUCAUCAGAGUCUGCUCGGCACAUUCAGCUCAAGCUUCAUAAUGGCAAAGUCAGGUUACAGUUCAACUUGGGUGACGGCGACAAAACUUUGGAUCUGGAGAAUGCCCAGGCCAACAAUGGUCGGUGGCACCGUCUGCGAAUGGACCGCUACGGCACUGAAUUCCAUCUGCGGCUGGAUGGCGGAGAGGGGCGUAACUACGCCUAUCGGUUGGGCUCUGAAGGAGGGACAGAGCUGGAGGUGUUCAAAGUGAGCCGCAUGGUGUUCUCGGGAGCGGUCAAGCAAGGCCUGGGGCUCUCCUCGGUGCUCCGGGAGGACCUCAUCAGCACUUGUAUCCAGGAUGUCCGUAUCAACGACGGCUACUUCGCCAUGACGGACGCCGAGGGCAACGACCCCGAUACAAUGGCGCGGGUGGAGGAGAACCGCAACACACGGGAAGGAUGCGUGCGCGAGGACUGUCUGCGCCACAACUGUAAGGUCAACACGAUCUGUGUGCCGCUCUGGGAGUUCCACGAGUGCCGCUGCCUCCCGGGUUCUCGUAAGGUGGGCAACGACUGUUUCUCCAGCUGCAUCCCCAACCCGUGCUUCAACAACGUGACCUGCAGCAUCGUCAACAGCGACAUCAAGUGUCAGUGUCCGCCAGGCUGGCGCGGUCAGUUCUGUGACGAGCUGGGCCCGGAGGAGGUCAAGAGCGGGGACCUGUCGGAUGGGGCUCUGGUCAUCAUCUUGGUGUCGCUAAUUGUGGUUAUAUUGCUGGCCCUUAUCGUGUUCCUGCUGUGGAGGUUCUGCCCGCACCGCGACGAGGGGGAGAAAUACAUCCUGGAGGUGGACGCGGAGGAUGACAUCAGGGAGAAUGUGAUGAACUAUGACGAGGAAGGAGCUGGAGAAGAAGACCAGGAUGCCUAUGACCUGUUCAGACUGCAGCGCGCUAACUUUGAGACGCCGGGUCGACCAUACGACAUGGAGCGACGGAUGGACAUGAAACAAUCGAAUGCAGGCCCAGACAAACCGGAUGUAGGUAACUUCAUCGACGGUCGCAUGAAGGACGCAGACAACGACGAUGGGGCCCCGCCGCACGACGCCGUUAGAGAGUUCAACUUUGAGGGCGGGGACAGCGAGGCGGGCAGCCUGAGCAGCCUGAGCACCAGCAGCAGCGAGCGCGCUCACGAGUACGACUACCUCAACGACUGGGGGCCCAAGUUCUCCAAACUCGCCGACAUGUACGGGGCGGGCCAGGACUUAGAGGAUUGGUGAUUCCUGCCUAGAUUAGAGAGACAAGACUUUUUGUAGGAAGCUAAGCAAUCGGUGAUUCAUCCCUGAGUUAUACAUGACUCAUUUGUGAGAAUCCGUGCAACUGACGAUUCAUCUUUUUGAAUGGAAACAUGGGUUAUCAGGAAAAUUAACGCCAUUCGUGAUUCGUCGGUGAGGUAAAAGUUGACUUAUCAUUAUGAGAAGCUAUUUCAUUCUUUAGAGGAAUUAUUAUUUGAGUGCGAAUUUAACGCACCUUGUGAGAGAGUCCAUGUCAUCCAUCCAGUGAACAACUUUUUUCAGCUCUUUUGCGUGAGGUGAAAAGGGAUUUGCCUCGACAAUCAAUCAAAUGUGGACUGUGAAAGCCUUAACAAGAUGUGAGUAACUGGUUGUCAUGGAGUGAGCGACUUUAUACAGCAUGUGUCCAUACCACAUACCCUCACUCAAGCUUAUGCUCUUGGAGAUGUUGAAAUAUUGAAAUGGUGGGGGGAUCUACAGGUUUCUUUUGUGGAUGCUGGGUUCUUCGGAAAGAUACUUUUAAUCUUUGUGUGCCCUCACCCGUGGUGGAAAAUGGAUGUCUGUGUCUUCUGGAGGUAAUCCCAUGUCGAAAUAGCAUCCUGUUUAGGAGAAAGUGAUGUCAAGUCCUCUGUUUGACCCCUCGCUCUGGACACUUGGAUUACGCUUGGAUUAGCCCAAUCUUUGUGGGUCUUCAAUGUCUGGGAGGAAGGUAACUUUUCCUAAAUUUAAAGUUGUUGAGCACAGACUUGCGGAUUUGGUUUUAUUACCUUUCCAACUCCGUGGAUGUGCUAUCUCCAAAUUACAGAAUAUUCUACGGACGCAAGUAUGAAGCAUUAACUAGUCACAGAAAUCAAAUCUGGCUGUUAAAAAUGUAUCCUAUUCAACAGGUUUCUCCAUGAGACAGAGUUUUUUUAAAUGGAGAAAAAGCCUUGAUUCCAUAAAAUUAUUUUUAAAUGGUGUGUGGCUGCAAAUGUGUUUGUGAGGAUGAAAUGCAAAGAUUGUAAUCGAGUGUUUGCUGUGCUGCUUGUGUUGAUGUCAGAGCAUGCCCGUCUGAAAGUUGCAGGUGUUUGGCACUUAUGUGUUUGGGGCCCCCUGAUGAAUAAAUCUAUAUUUUUGUACUAUGCUGUAAACCUUUGCCAUGAAUAUUGAAUGUUGUUGCAGGUACGAAGGGAUAUGCUCGGUAGGUGUGCUAUGAUUGUAUGGUGUCGGUGCUGGUAGGCAAUGAUAACUUUUACAGUAAGCUUGCCAUGGAUGUUGACUGUCGUUGCAAGGAUAAGGGAUGUUUUUGGUAAACUUGCUAUGAGUGUUGAAUGUUAUUAAUCGUAAUGAUAAAUAAGAAUGGUAUGGGUGCCCUCAUCGUGGAGAGGAUUUGAAUGGAAAAAAAUCAAUCCUUGGCCCAGUACCUUAUAGCAGUGGACAACUGUUUUGUGCCCAGAAUCGCUCAAGAAAGGAAAAUUCAUUAUUUCUGUGUUUUUUUUCUAAACAGCCGAAGUGAUUCGCCUUCCAAUUCUCAUCCAUGUGUAUGGUCUGUAAGCUUAAAGUGGAUGAGCCGUGGUAUAAGAGUGAAGUUUACGAUAGUGGCUGGAGUUUCUGGUGUGACGGUCGUUCUUUUGAUGAAACAAUGACGUGAAGUUUGUGCGGAGGCUGCAGGUUCUGGAAUCUUUCUACACUUGUUGCCCUUUCCCGACCUACUCAACACUGCUGUCCCUCGUCACACGUCGCUGGGCGGUUACUGCCAGUGACUCGGGCGGUUGUGCCGCAGUGCCAUGUGUGACUCGGACGGAAAAAUCAAUGUGUUCUGUUCUUUACAUUUUUUACGUUUUGAUCAUCAUGAGCUGGCCAGUACUAACCCACUCAGGCUUUGUCUAGCCUGUGUUGUUUCAUUGCCUCGGACUGACAGAAUGGGGGCCUGGGGUUAAAAAGUUCCAUUUACAUUCGCUAUUUAAUGGUUUCUGGUAAAGUAUUUUCUCUUAUGAACUGUGCAUACUCAUAAAGUCCAGAAAUUCUAGGUGCAGUUUUAGUAAGUGAAAGGGAACCAAUUGAAUAUAAUCCUUGAUGAGAAAUGACAUUUAAGACGUCUGUUAUGUUCAAAAGUACUUGCCUCCUCUUUAGUUUACAUUUGGUGUGUUAUAAUAGAUUGACUGUACUAGAAGAAUACUAUUUUAUUUAGAAAGAUCCUUUAUCGUGCAAAACAGACUUAUUUUGUAAAUAGAAAUGUGCUAGAAAAUUCCAUCAUGCUUGAGAACAAAGCUAUUACUUUUGUCAUAGUUCUGAGAUGUAGGAGUAAGAAAAGAUUGGUAUUAUUUUGUAAUUGAAACGUUUUGACUGCAGGCCUGCAAACUGUUUAGUGAAAUCUUUAUUCUGAAUCUGAAUUGUCUGUUCUGUCGGUCAUUAGGCAAAUGCUCACUCUUGUCACUCUUUGGUUGGGUCCAGAUAUUGACACAACCUCCCUUGGUUCUCUCCCCUAAGUUCAAGUCCACACAGGCUUUGGGUAAAAGCUGUCCGCCUAUGGCUGUGGUACAGAAUUCAUUCUUGAACAGUAUUGUUUUCUUCUUCAAAUGAAUUUACAGAAAGACCUCGUUUGUUUCUGUGUCUUGUGUGUACAGGAAAAUAAUUUUUCAAAUGCAAACGCAUGUAAGAUGCAAGCUUAUAUUUAUUCAGCAUACUGCAAUAUUUUUGUUGGUUGUGAACAAUUUUGCUGAACUUUAUUGUAACUGGGUGUUGUGUUUGUUCAGUAAGUAUUGGGUUUUUACUGCAUGGUUGUUAUUUAUUUUCAAAAAAGUGUAUACGUAUACUUACUUCUGUUCAGCACUUUUAAAGUGCACUGGUUACGUACUUGAGUUUUCAGUCAAUAUCUGGUCUAUUUUUGGGUUGGACGAAUCAUUAACAAAUUUUUAUAUGAGGUUGUUAAUUGUUGGACACACAUGAAACGAAUAUAUUAUAUAUAUGGUGAAAAAUGGCUGUAUUUGAAACUCUACUUUACAGAUACCUAUAGUCUUGCUAAUAUGGUUAUACUCUGACUCUGUUAGUGUACAGAAAUGUUAGCCAUUUGAUCUGUGCUCACCUCCGUACUCAUGCUCUGAUGCGAUGACUGUGUUUAUGAAGUCUCAUAGGAAGUCUGAGUUGUGCACUCUGAUCCAGGGUGAAGUUUUGUAUAUUUGUUGUGAGGGUAUGUGGCUAUAGAGAAGGGGAAAUUUGGUCUUACAUAGUGCCACCAGUGGGAAUGUGAUGGAAGUCGCUCUUUCUGUAAUGUUGGCUGUAAGUUGUGUGGUAGUAUAAGAAAGCAGUCAUUGUGCAAGUUUAAUCUCUGACAAAAUGUUGAUGAUGUUAGUGAUUAAUGAUUUAUUAAAGUUCAUUUAAUGUACUGCCCAUACCCUUAUGACGCUACGCAUCUUACCAUAUUACACUAAUAUGAGGUGAACUAGCAAGCAUGUAAAUGUUCAGGGCAUCCUUAAGCUCUUGCAAAUUUUAAAGAUUGCUUUUAAAACCUCUUCCAUGCCAUAUUUAUAUUAUAUAAUAUGGAUGUACCUGGUACAUCAUGUAAUUGCACAAUUUUCCACAUCUUGACACACCAUUGAAUUCACAAUGCAUCUUAUUGAAAGGUUAAAGGGUCUCAUAUUACAGGAUUUGUUUCUUGGUGGUACAAGUUUUUAUGUUGCCCUAUGUGUCCAGUAACGGGGUAUGCUGACACUGUUUAUGUAAUCAUUGUAAUGAAAACGGGCAUGCGCUUUAAAAGUUUAGUCUCCCUAGCUUGAAAAAUGUUGGUAUGAACAAUAAAAAUAGAGGCUGAAUGACUGCUCAAGUAACACCUAUAACUUCAUUUACAAGUAGAAAAGGCAUACUUGAGCCUCCAAGAUAAGCAAUUAAACAAAUUUUUUAGGGGUCAUAGAUAAAGUUGAAGUGGAGAUGUGCUGACUGCAGCCGUUGUGUGCUGAGUACAACACGACAGGCAACUUGACUGGCAUUGUGUUCUCUGGCCAGAUCCAACUUUUAAAACAUCUUCAUGUUCUCUUUUCUCAUACUGAUCAUGCUGCUCUCAUGUCUUUUCGCCAUCUGAAGACGACACAUGCCAAAGCAGAUUUUUAAAGAAUCAUUUCAUUAACCUCACAAACCUCACACAAAAUCUUGAGAAAAGGACUGUGACUGAAGGAGGUUCGAACCUCCAGCCUACCUGUGUGUGUGUGUGUGUGUGUGUGUGUGUGUGUGGUCAGGGUGUGCCCUGAUGAUGAUUUGCCUUACAGCAUCUAGCACACGGAGACUCCACAGCAGCACGGGGGGAGAACACAGAGGGAUGAGUCCGCUCCCCCUUCCUUGUAGAGCAUUCCAUGCAUUAUUUAUCAUAUUUUGUAUCAAUUUGUGUCCCCAUCCCAAUUGUUGCCAUCUCAAAACAUCGGCCUUGCGGACAAUUCGCAUACCUUCAAAAUUGGUUUUUCACACUCUGAGUGCUUGUUUCAAAAUUUGGACCUAAACAGAUAGAUCUCCAUAUAUGCGAGUUGAGAAAUUUGUGAAUAGUAUAGUGUUAUGAUUUUAGCAUGCUUGCAGACUUGGCAUGAGUAUUCAAUAGCAAAUAUUUUUUUUUCUCUAUUUAUUCUGGGUAGCUUGUCCUUUUCAAAUUAAUGCCCAAGUAUGUCUACUAUGGACUGUGUACAGUUCUGAUUUACCUGUAACUAUUGUUUAAAUGUACUUUUUGAUUUUGUUUCCUGGUAAUUUGAGGUUUUGUAGAGUAUGUGGGUUGUUUGCAACGCCGAUAAAAUGUUCCGUCUCAAAGAAAGAACCAAGUCAUAUCACGAUAUAGGGAGGGUACCAUCAAAUUCCCCCCAUGCACUUUUGCCAUAUAGCACCCCAAUACAGUUCACAAAACGCCUGACCAGAACCAUGUGUACUGACCAUUGCCUCCAGGGGGCAUAAGUCUGCUAUUGCUUGUUGCCAAGUGACAGCUGAAUGACUUGUGACAAUUGGCGUAUGAUGUGAUGUCUAUUGAAUGACUUGAAGAAUGCACAGGGUAAUCAAAAUGCUUUUUGUGAGGUAAAGUGAGAGAGACUUAAAAUAAGUGAUGUUAUAAUAAUAAAUAUAGGAAUGAGGGGCAUAAGUCUGCUAUUGCUUGUUGCCAAGUGACAGCUGAAUACUUGUGAAAAUUGGCGCAUGAUGUCUAUUGAAUGACUUGAAGAAUGCCCAGGGUAAUCAAAAUGCUUUUGUGAGGUAAAGUGAGAGAGACUUAUAAAGUAAGUGAUGUAAUAUACGAAUGAGAGUGAAUUAAUUGAUAAACUUUGAAUGUUUAUAGGAAAAUAUAAUUAUUAACACAGAUUUUGAAUUUGUUUUCUAAUUUGCAAGGUUUAUGUGCAAGACAGUUUCAUAUAUGAAUGCCUGUGAAAUUAUCUUACGCAAAUUGUAUGUGAAAGGUUUAUACUCUGUGGUCAUUACAUAUUUCUGAACAUUUGAGAUAUCCCUGAAGGAAGAAUCAUUUAUUUAUCUCUUUUGCCUCCUUGCAAGAAAGGUCCUCAGAGAAGCAGACGUUUUUGAGUGUGUAUUAGCUCUGUUUGUUGCCUUGCAAUGUUCAUUGAGAGGGAGGGGAGUCGGGGAUGGCUGAUUGUUUAACCAUUCAAGUCAGCUGAUAAACGAGUCGGGGAUGGCUGAUUGUUUAACCAUUCAAGUCAGCUGAUAAACGAAUCGGGGAUGGCUGAUUGUUUAACCAUUCAAUCAGCUGAUAAACGAAAGAGAUUAGUUGCCAAGAAUUUUGAAUUUUCUCUCACGCUGUGUUCAUGACGUACUUAACAUAUUUUACAUUGUUCCAAACAUGAAUCAUUAUGAGUCAAGUCUCACCCCAGUCCUCAUGACUUCAGUAUUUCCGUAGUGCCACUUUUCUGGAAGUUUUCACUCCCUGACUUGAACAUAUUUGUGAAUGAAAGUGUACGUCCCUGUUUAUGUACAAUGUGAACAUUUCUUUUCGCGUAAGUUCUCCUAAUUUCUGAAAAUUUUGCAAGAAUGAGAAGAUGUCCAUCAACCAUUUUAUUUCCUGUAUUUAUGUUCAACCCUCAAUGGAGCAUGGUAGUAUUUGUGUUUUUGUACUUGCUUCUUUAUCUGUUUAGUUCCCUGUUUACCUUCAUUAAUAGUGACGUCUUCUUAUGACUAUGGUCAUUAUCAACUCACAAAGUUUGAACGAUGUUUAACUAUCUUGUAGAUUUAUUAUUUUUUUGCAAGGUUGCUUUUUCCCCGUGUCUGAUCUUCGUCUUCAUAAAGUUCUAAUCAACUUUUUAAAGUGUUGUAGUCUCUGCAGAAAUUUUAUAAUGACAGAAUAUUUCGGUGACUCUUGAUGCAAGGUUGUACUGUGCUGCACGUCAAAUCACAAAGUUUGAACGGUGUCCUAUCAUGUGGAGUUUUUGUGCUUUGCAAAGUCGGUUUUUCCUCCCACAUCUUAUCCUUUUGAAGCCUUCAUAAAGUUACGAAUCGACCUCUCAAAGUGUUGUGGUCUUUGCAGCAAUACGAUAAUGGCAGAUGGUUUCGAUGACUCUUGAUGCAAUUGUUAUACUGUGCUGCAAUUCUGGUUGAAAAGGGGGGAGGGGUGUGAAUAGUUCAGCGAAACAAAUAUUAUUUACACCUCCAAUUCUAACAUAACUACGCAGGUCUUUUCCCCGCUGACAACUACAAUACAGGUUUGUCUGUGUGCUAGCUCAGAAAUGUGCCCCAACCCCCUUUUGCUCACUUUGUUUGAUCCUUCGUUAUGGUUAUGUUCAUCAGCCUUAACUGUCAGACCUUGCCGUCAUGCCCACUCCUUACCUCUUAAAAUCCUAUGUGUGCUUACCUUGCCCUGAAUUUUCUUGCCAUGAAAGGCAGAAGCACACCUUUAUGUGAAUCUUUCUAGUUAAGAUAUUCCCUAAAAAAUUUAGCUGAUCAGAGUUGGAAUUGCGUUUCUCUAGUUAGUAUUCAGAUUUAUGUUUGAUUGCUUUUAUUUGUGAAGGUCAAAAGGUCAGCAUGGUAGUAUUGUUCAGUCUGCACCAGCCUUAAUAAUAGCCACUAGUAUUGCCCUAUAUAUACACCAGUUCCUGUCAACAUUUUUAUAGCCAGCGCCUACUUUUGCCACAUUUAAGCGAUUAAAUUUUCGUACCGCCCACCUACAUCCAGCGGGACAUAAAAUAACACCGGUCACUACCUAUAUGAUCCCCACUGCCCACCAAAAUUACCAAAUUGCCCAGUAGUGUGUGUGUGGUACUGCCCAGGUUGGCAAGCACUGCCUUAUAAAGCUCUCUGUGUGUUCUUCCUCUUCUAGUGCACUCUUUACAUUUGUCCUGGUCACAUGGCCUUUGCAUCGACACAUUUCUUGACAACCCUGUGAUGCCUUCCUCAUUGUACAUCAUUAUGAUGUGUGGGUGGGUGGUACUCUGGAGCAAGUUCACCCCCUUCCACAUUGUUUCAAGUGUCACUUAAUAAGUCCUUCUCUGCUUCCUGGUGAAAUGUGGCUGUCAUCUCGCUGACUCGCUGUAAAAGACAGCCUAAAUAAAUGUAUUUUAGAGCCACACAAACACGUACACACAUGCCACCUUGUCCUGUCAGUGUCUUGUCAUAGGCUGGAGUUUGGGGUUGUCCAGUACAUAUCUUGUGAUUAAAUUCUACAGUGCUCCUGCACUAUAUCAUCCCAGUGAAUUUCAAACAGAUUUAUUCGUUAUAUCCUUUUUCUACGUUUUUGAAUUUUUCAAUUGUUGUGUUGUGAAGGACAAGGGUCUGGAAUCUCAUUUCUUUGUAAGUAUUAAGCCCCUUUCCGACUCGUGGGCUUUGCAUCGUGAGCUGUCCCCUACAUUAUGUAUAUCCAUUCGAAACAAAGGGAGCUAUGAUAGUUCAGUUGGUAUAAUGCUUUAACUACAGUGCAAAUGGCCAAGGUUUAAAUUCCAAAUGGAAGUUUUUGGACAGUUUGUGUAGGGAGUUUUUAUUUAUGGUACCAUAAAUUUCAAAAUGGCGGUCAGUGCUGGUUGUGUUUCAUGUAAACAGAAUUGGUACAGAUUUUUUUUGGUGGAAGUUUCUAUUGGGACUUAAGCUCUAGGUUUGGGUAUGUGUAGAGAAAUGGUGUCAGUUGUAGUUGUUUACUGUACAAACCAUGUGCUGUGUUAUGGACUCGAGAGUUGAGAAGUCGUCUUGUCUGAAAGCAACCGUAGAUCCUGAAUCCAUCCAGUGUGUUUAGAAAGUGUGGAAGUCCUCAUUGUUUAGAUGUGGUUCACAAACACGAGUUCUUGAAUCGUAAUAUGUGUCAGUUAAGAUUCUCUGUCAGUCCAAUAAUUGAACCUCUCCAAUUAACUGAAUGUAGUCUUAGAAAUUACGUUGGUUAUGUGGGUUCUGAAAAGCAUGCGUGUUGUGAUUGCAGAACAUUGACCUACAAUGGACUAAAAACACUGACCCAGGGCUUACGUUCUGGUGUGAUAAUGCUUUACUUUUCCUUUCCUUCUACCUCUUGGUGCGGGUGCUUGAUGGCUGCUCCUGUGUUGCCUGCUCCUUGUACUUCUUUUUAUCGUAUUUAUUGUUCUUUUCUAUGCCUGGCAAAAAUGUGUCUGGUGUUGUGCUGAUUGAGAGAAAACAAAAGCUUGGACGAUAUCCCGUUAUAUGUGUAAUGUUGUCCAAAGUGGAGAGGUGGCACAAUGUUACCUUUUGUGUACAGUCAUCAAUUUGUCAUGGCCCCAAGGCCUCAGUUAUCGUUUUAACAUUUGGUUCAGCUAGCCAAAUGACGUUGACUGCACUCUGUUCCCCUGUGGAAUUUGUAGCUUACGUUUUGUAGAAUUGCGUACAAUGCUUCAAUGUUACUACAUUGUCUUGUACGAGUUUUAAAAGAAUAGUCAGUCCCUGUUUCAUUCUGUCCGAAACUGGAUUCAUUAGCUUUUUGCCCUGGGCUGUUGUGUCCUCUUAGUGAAGUUAUCAAGGUUACUGUCACAGGAGAGGAUUUUAAGGCAUGGUGAAAAAGAUUGGUGAAACAGGGACAUGUUCAAGUCCAUGUGUUUACUGUCAGUCGAACUUGGACUCGUUUGUUGUAUAUGAUUUCACAGUGUUAAAUGAUAGCUUUAAUGGAUGACAUUCACAUUAUAAGAGAACAGAGAAGAUGUAUUAAUUUAUUGAAAGCUGUACUCAAGUUUGAAAAUAGUUUGCUGCAAGGUUUGAGGCCAUAUCUCACUUGGUUGGUGUGUUGCGUAAUUCGGCAAACAGCCCUUGGCAGGAAAGAAUAGGAUAAGAUAAUGAUUAGGUGAUUCUGAAGCGUCUGUUGUUGCUCAAUACAUUGUUGAGGGGACUGUAGGCCCCCCCCCCCCCCCCCCAGACCUGACCAUCGACUCGCGAUAUUAUCUCCCUUUGUUACUACCAUGACUUGCUCUCAUGAUAUUACUGUCAGACGGAGAAUUAUGCAACGGUACUGGAGGUGAGCGUUCUUCUAUGAGUUGUGUUGAUUUUGACUCUCAGAUGUGUGUAUGAAUGUAAAAAUGAUUCACAUACUGUAGUAAUUCCAGAACCAUGCUUUUAGACAUGAAGUCUUUUAUUUUUAUUUUAGAAUUUUAAUCAUGAGCUUCUUGUAAAGUGCAUCAUCAUCAUUUUGCCUCCUCCAUUGUGAUUAGUUAUCUCAUGAGUACUAACAGUGCUGACAUUGUGCUUGUUUGAGUUUUGCUUAAUCUCCUCAAUCAACUGAGAUUUACUUUGUGAAUUUAACAUUUUGUGUUCAUGACUGUCUUCAUCCUAUUUUAAUUUUAUUUAUAAGAGAUUUGGUUGUUGGGCGAAAAGCCUGUCUGUGUUUCCUUAUGCAAAGUUUAGCAUUACCCUUCCCAUCUGGUUGCACAUCGUAGGUUCGAGGCUGCAAUCAAAUCUCAUCAUGACAACCUCUUUGCCGAUAUAUCUCUACUCUACAGGCAAUGGGUUUAUUCUUUGUUUCUUCUCCGUCUUCAAAGAGAAGGUUUGUUGGUCAGUCGCAUGUCAUUUUUUCUGGUCUGCUGUAUCUUACAGGAUUAAAUUAGUUAUUGUUGUUUGGACUUGUUUCCGGCCAAAAUAGUCAUAUCUCUGGUUAUGAAAUGCACCAAAAAAGUCAAUCAAAUGAAAAAAUUUCGAUACAUGGUUUUUAUUUUAUAUUUAUGGUCUGUUUCCGCUACAUUUAAUUGAAAACAUAAAUUUCUCUGUUUAAAAGUAUUGAUAAUGUGCUAAAUUUGAUGUCAUCUUAGGCACAAGAAUUUUCAUAAGGUUUCGUUUUGCUGUUAAUUCAAGUUUUACCUUGGUUACUUGAA
rnacentral:misc_RNA from 1 species